rnacentral:piRNA from 1 species
GAGACACGGUCUCCCUCUGUAGUCC